rnacentral:misc_RNA from 1 species
UGCAGCAGCCUUCAAUUCCAUCAACAGGUAAUUCCCAGAUCAGCUCUGUGGGAAGUGUAUCUAGCUGUCAUGUGGUAAAUGGAGUCCUUGCAUCAGACAGUUUCCAUCCAAUGCAAAUAAAUUCUCUAAAAGGAAGCCCAGCUGACCCAGUACCUGCUGUCCCUGUCAUCAAGUCAGAGAUGAUGGAUUUGAGUCCAACACCAGUUACAUCCAAUGGUCAAUUUCUUUUCACUCCAGC